UCCGAAAGGAGUGCUAAUACCGCAUAAGCUCCCGAGCUAUAGAGGCUUGAGAGAAAAGGCGCAAGUCGCUUUGGGAGGAGGCUGCGGCCCAUCAGGUAGUUGGUGCGGUAACGGCUCACCAAGGCGACGAUCAGUAGCUGGUCUGAGAGGAUGAUCAGCCACAUUGGGACUGAGACACGGCCCAAACUCCUACGGGAGGCAGCAGUGGGGAAUAUUGGACAAUGGGCGCAAGCCUGAUCCAGCCAUGCCGCGUGAGUGAUGAAGGCCCUAGGGUUGUAAAGCUCUUUUGUGCGGGAAGAUAAUGACGGUACCGCAAGAAUAAGCCCCGGCUAACUUCGUGCCAGCAGCCGCG
rnacentral:rRNA from 1 species